rnacentral:tRNA from 1 species
GGUCUGGUGGUAUCCUGGUCACAUCUCGACCUCAGCACGGUAAGUUUUGAGUUGCGUCCUUGGUAAGGAUGAGAGCCCGGGUUCAAAUCCCGGCCUAGGCUG